CAAAUUGUCAAUAGAAGUGGAGCAGAAGCAUGGAAGAUAGAGAUGGGAUAACCCAUUUGAAGGAUCCAUUCCAUCUCUUUGCCAAUGCAAGUCUGUUCCUCACAGUACUGACACCAUCACCAAGUGACUGAAGCUCUGAUCAAAGGGGAAA